GGCAAACUUAUACGCGUAAUGAAAGUGAGGCCGUAUGGCCAUGUUGGGGUCACCAACAACCGACCUUGAUCUUCGGUGAAAGGUUUGAGUAUGAGCAUAUCCGUUAGGACCCGAAAGAUGGUGAACUAUGCUGAGCAGGGUGAAGCCAGGGGAAACUCUGGUGGAGGCUCGUAGCGAUACUGACGUGCAAAUCGUUCGUCAGACUUGGGUAUAGGGGCGAAAGACUAAUCGAACCAUCUAGUAGCUGGUUCCCUCCGAAGUUUCCCUCAGGAUAGCUAGAGUCUUUAUCAGUUUUGUCAGGUAAAGCGAAUGAUUAGAGGUUCCGGGGAAGUAACUUCCUCGACCUAUUCUCAAACUUUAAAUGGGCAAGAUCCAGUAGUUACUUAAUUGAACUAUUGGGGUCAAUGAGACGACUCUAAGUGGGCCAUUUUUGGUAAGCAGAACUGGCGAUGAGGGAUGAACCUAACGCUCGGUUAAGGUGCUAAACUGCUCGCUCAUCAGAUACCACAAAGGGUGUUGGUCGAUCUUAACAGCAGGACGGUGGUCAUGGAAGUCGAAAUCCGCUAAGGAGUGUGUAACAACUCACCUGCCGAAUCGACUAGCCCCGAAAAUGGAUAGCGCUGAAGCGAGUGACCGAUACCGGGCCAUUGUUGCAAGAUAAUUGGCAACAAUGAGUAGGAGGGCGUGGGGGUUGUGAAGAAGCUUGGACGUGAGUCUGAGUGAAACAGCUUCCAGUGCAGAUCUUGGUGGUAGUAGCAAGUAUUCAAUAAGAGAACAUUGAAGGCCGAAGUGGGGAAGGGUUCCAUGUGAACAGCACUUGGACAUGGGUUAGCCGAUCCUGAGAGACAGGUUAAAUUCCAUCGGAUUGGAGCUUUGGCUCUGUUUCUCGAAAGGGAAGCUGGUUAGUAUUCCAGCGCCGAGACGUGGAUAAUAUGUGGCAACACAAGUGAACUCGGACACGCCAUAGGGGACCCCAGGAAGCGUUGUCUUUUCUUUUUAACAGUUCGACUUACCCUGGAAUCAGAUCAUCUGGAGAUAGGGUUUUCGAACUGGAAUAGCACCUUGUCUAACAGGGUGUCUGGAGUGUUCUCGCUGGCCCUUGAAAAUCCGAGGGAUAGAUUUAUC
rfam:Perkinsus marinus ATCC 50983 gcontig_1104296275106, whole genome shotgun sequence.